AUUGAACGCUGGCGGCAGGCCUAACACAUGCAAGUCGGGCGAGUGGCGGACGGGUGAGUAAUGCAUGGGGAUCUGCCUGAUGGCGGGGGAUAACUACGGGAAACGGUAGCUAAUACCGCGUACCAUCAGAUGAGCCCAUUUGGGAUUAGCUAGUGGGUGAGGUAAAGGCUCACCUAGGCGACGAUCCCUAGCUGGUCUGAGAGGAUGACCAGCCACACUGGGACUGAGACACGGCCCAGACUCCUACGGGAGGCAGCAGUGGGGAAUAUUGCGCAAUGGGCGCAAGCCUGACGCAGCCAUGCCGCGUGAAUGAAGAAGGCCUUCGGGUUGUAAAGUACUUUCAGUAGGGAGGCGUUACCGACAGAAGAAGCACCGGCUAACUCCGUGCCAGCAGCCGCGGUAAUAC
rnacentral:rRNA from 1 species